CUCAAAGAAAUUGACGGGGACCCGCACAAGCGUUGGAGUAUGUGGCUUAAUUCGAUGCAACGCGAAGAACCUUACCAAGGCUUGACAUGCAUCUCUAAACACGUGAAAGCGUGUGACCAUUCGGGGAAUUUGCACAGGUGCUGCAUGGCCGUCGUCAGCUCGUGUCGUGAGAUGUUGGGUUAAGUCCCGCAACGAGCGCAACCCUUGUGAUUAGUUGCCAGCACGUCAAGGUGGGAACUCUAGUCAGACUGCCCAGAUCAACUGGGAGGAAGGUGGGGACGACGUCAGGUCAGUAUGGCCAUUACGCAUUGGGCUGCACACGUACUACAAUGCCCAGCACAAUGAGAACCGAUACCGCGAGGUGGAGGAAAUCUGUAAAACUGGGCUCAGUUCGGAUUGGAGGCUGCAACUCGCCUCCAUGAAGUUGGAAUCGCUAGUAAUGGGGCAUCAUCUACGGCCCCGUGAAUACGUUCCCGGGUCUUGUACACACCGCCCGUCACAUC
rnacentral:rRNA from 1 species